rnacentral:rRNA from 1 species
UACGUAGGGUGCGAGCGUUGUCCGGAAUUAUUGGGCGUAAAGAGCUUGUAGGCGGUCUGUCGCGUCUGCUGUGAAAAUCCGGGGCUCAACCCCGGACUUGCAGUGGGUACGGGCAGACUAGAGGUGUGGUAGGGGAGACUGGAAUUCCUGGUGUAGCGGUGAAAUGCGCAGAUAUCAGGAGGAACACCGAGUUGCGAAGGCAGCUCGCUGGGACGU